rnacentral:lncRNA from 1 species
GUAGCCUACAAGGGCAGCGAGUACAGACAACUCAUAGGAGGCUCAAGCCCUCGUAGUUGACACUAGGCUUAACUCACUAACCGAAGAGCCUACGUAGGUGGAGCUGCUAUAUCUGAUGGCUUGCUCGGGUUGCCCACUGAGCCAUAUGACUUUCGAGGAAGUUACCUCGGUCGAUCGAUCGAUGCGUUCUAAUGAAGUUCCGGUGCUCUUGUCAUGGUGGUGGUUGGCUAGGUUCUGAUUAGCUAAGUUGAAUAUGCAGUGAUGCAGAACAGAUGUAGGGGGCAAGCAUGUAUAUAUAGCUGUAGUUCCUUUCUUUCUUUUGUUGGUCUUAUUACAUGAGCAAUUAGGUCUAAUAGUAGCUAGUUUUAGAUUGGGUUCUUGUUUAUCAGAUGACCUUCCGCGCCAUGGCAAAUGCAAUAUAAUCCUCCACUGGUACUCAGUUCUCUUGUAUAGUACGGAGUACUCUCUCCAUUCCGUUAUACAAGGUCACUUCAUAUUUUUCAUGUCUAACUUUGACCAUUAAUUUACCAACAAAAAGUGAGUUAUAUACCACAAAAAGUACUUCAUUGGAUGCACAUUUCAAAGAACUUUCUGAUGAUAUAUUUUUGAUGACAUAUAAUCCAUAUUUUGUUGACCAAAAUUAUAAAUCAAAAUUUGACUUGAAAAACGAAGUGACCUUGUAUAUAGGGGAAUAAAGGGAGUACCAUGUUUGCUCCGUAGCUGAGUCUUUUUUUUUUGAACAAGAGGCAAACGAUUUGCCUCGUUCAUCAGUUAUCCCGAUUCGACAUUAAAAGUAUAUUGAUUCUUUCCCGUCUAGUGGUUCAGGACAUCUCUCUUUCAAGGAGGCAGCGGGGAUUCGACUUCCAAGAGGAAUGUUUCCC